GAUAAACGCUGGCGGCGUGCCUAAUACAUGCAAGUCGAUCGAUGGAUGCCCAGCUUGCUGGGAGGAAAUAGAGGCGAACGGGUGAGUAAUACGUAAGCAACCUGCCCACGAAGACCGGGAUAAUCCCUGGAAACGGGGACUAAGACCGGAUAGGUAACAGAACCGCAUGAUUUUGUUAUUAAAGGUUAAAAACACUGGUGGAUGGGCUUACGGUGCAUUAGCUAGUUGGUGAGGUAACGGCCCACCAAGGCGAUGAUGCAUAGCUGGUCUGAGAGGAUGAACAGCCACAUUGGGACUGAGACACGGCCCAGACUCCUACGGGAGGCAGCAGUAGGGAAUUUUCGGCAAUGGGGGAAACCCUGACCGAGCAACGCCGCGUGAGUGAAGAAGGUCUUCGGAUUGUAAAGCUCUGUUGUAAGGGAAGAAAUGUACUUUGAGAAAAAGUACUUGACGGUACCUUACCAGAAAGCUACGGCUAACUACGUGCCAGCAGCCGCGGUAAUACGUAGGUAGCGAGCGUUAUCCGGAAUUAUUGGGCGUAAAGGGUGCGUAGGCGGCCAUUUAAGUUCAUGGUGAAAGCGUGGGGCUCAACCCCAUAAAGCCAUGGAUACUGGAUGGCUGGAGUACUGGAGAGGGUAGUGGAAUUCCAUGUGUAGCGGUAAAA
rnacentral:rRNA from 1 species